GUGAGGGUUCCUCUCAAAGAGGGGAUUUUACGGUGAGAUUUGAUGGGAAGAAUGCGGAGCAGAAGCAGCAGCUGCUGACGCCGAGAUCGAAGCAUUCUGCAAUGGAGCAACGGAGGAGGAGCAAAAUUAAUGACAGGACUCAAUAAAUUCUUUGAGACAUGAAGUUCGACAAAAUGGAGAGAAAGGAGGCGAAGACUUGAACGAUAAAUAGAGGAUUAUACAUAUGGUUUCUUUUAAUAGUUUUAUGUUGUGGUUAUUUGGCUUGUUGUAGCAAAUCAUGGUUACUUGUUGUAGCAAAUCAUGGUUAUCAACUAUCUAUAGCAUGUUGUAUUUUA